CAUUAGUUUGUGGUUCAAGUUAUAUCAAGGGUGCUCACGUUGACUUGAAUCUGGUGCCGAGGGAUGAGAAUGAAGAGGAUGAUGUUAAGACCAUCAAGUUACCCAUUGUGGUGGAGGAGAUCAACGAUUGGUAACUAUUCUUCCUACAUGUUUCACUUGUCAUACGAUACCAAAUAUUUAUGUGAAUGUUGCUUAUCUUA